AGAGUUUGAUCCUGGCUCAGGACGAACGCUGGCGGCGUGCCUAAUACAUGCAAGUCGAACGCUUCUUUUCUACCGAGUGCUUGCACUCACUUGAAAAGAGGAGUGGCGGACGGGUGAGUAACACGUGGGUAACCUACCCAUCAGAGGGGGAUAACACUUGGAAACAGGUGCUAAUACCGCAUAAUAGUCGACAUCGCAUGGUGUUGAUUUGAAAGACGCUUUCGGGUGUCACUGAUGGAUGGACCCGCGGUGCAUUAGCUAGUUGGUGAGGUAACGGCUCACCAAGGCCAUGAUGCAUAGCCGACCUGAGAGGGUGAUCGGCCACACUGGGACUGAGACACGGCCCAGACUCCUACGGGAGGCAGCAGUAGGGAAUCUUCGGCAAUGGACGAAAGUCUGACCGAGCAACGCCGCGUGAGUGAAGAAGGUUUUCGGAUCGUAAAACUCUGUUGUUAGAGAAGAACAAGUAGGAGAGUAACUGCUCUUACCUUGACGGUAUCUAACCAGAAAGCCACGGCUAACUACGUGCCAGCAGCCGCGGUAAUACGUAGGUGGCAAGCGUUGUCCGGAUUUAUUGGGCGUAAAGCGAGCGCACGCGGUUUCUUAAGUCUGAUGUGAAAGCCCCCGGCUCACCCGGGGAGGGUCAUUGGAAACUGGGAGACUUGAGUGCAGAUGAGGAGAGUGGAAUUCCAUGGUGUAGCGGUGAAAUGCGUAGAUUAUUAUGGAGGAACACCAGGUGGGCGAAGGCGACUCUCUGGGUCUGCAACUGACGCUG
rnacentral:rRNA from 1 species